rnacentral:rRNA from 1 species
CAAGAGGAAUUCGGAGACAGGUGCUGCAUGGCUGUCGUCAGCUCGUGUCGUGAGAUGUUGGGUUAAGUCCCGCAACGAGCGCAACCCUUGUCUUUAGUUGCCAUCAUUAAGUUGGGCACUCUAAAGAGACUGCCGGUGUCAAACCGGAGGAAGGUGGGGAUGACGUCAAGUCCUCAUGGCCUUUAUGACCAGGGCUACACACGUACUACAAUGGCAGGUACAAAGGGCAGCCACUUAGCGAUAAGGCGCGAAUCCCGUAAAACCUGUCUCAGUCCGGAUUGGAGUCUGCAACUCGACUCCAUGAAGUUGGAAUCGCUAGUAAUCGCAGAUCAGCACGCUGCGGUGAAUACGUUCCCGGGCCUU